GGGAAACGCCCGGUCACAUUCCGAACCCGGAAGCUAAGACUCUCAGCGCCGAUGGUACUGCAGGGGGGACCCUGUGGGAGAGUAGGACACCGCCGGAC
rnacentral:rRNA from 1 species